GACGAACGCUGGCGGCGUGCUUAACACAUGCAAGUCGAACGGAAAGGCCCUGCUUUUGUGGGGUGCUCGAGUGGCGAACGGGUGAGUAACACGUGAGUAACCUGCCCUUGACUUUGGGAUAACUUCAGGAAACUGGGGCUAAUACCGGAUAGGAGCUCCUGCUGCAUGGUGGGGGUUGGAAAGUUUCGGCGGUUGGGGAUGGACUCGCGGCUUAUCAGCUUGUUGGGGGGGUGGUGGCUUUCCAAGGCUUUGACGGGUAGCCGGCCUGAGAGGGUGACCGGCCACAUUGGGACUUAGAUGCGGCCCAGGCUCCUACGGGAGGCAGCAGUGGGGAAUAUUGCACAAUGGGCGGAGGCCUGAUGCAGCAACGCCGCGUGCGGGAUGACGGCCUUCGGGUUGUAAACCGCUUUCGCAUGUGACGAAGCGUGAGUGACGGUAAUGUGUAAAGAAGCACCGGCUAACUACGUG
rnacentral:rRNA from 1 species